rnacentral:rRNA from 1 species
CCUACGGGAGGCAGCAGUGAGGAAUAUUGGUCAAUGGACGAGAGUCUGAACCAGCCAAGUAGCGUGAAGGAUGACUGCCCUAUGGGUUGUAAACUUCUUUUAUAUGGGAAUAAAACGUUCCACGUUGGGGAUUUUGUAUGUACCAUCUGAAUAAGGAUCGGCUAACUCCGUGCCAGCAGCCGCGGUAAUACGGAGGAUCCGAGCGUUAUCCGGAUUUAUUGGGUUUAAGGGGAGCGUAGGUGGAUUGUUAAGUCAGUUGUGAAAGUUUGCGGCUCAACCGUAAAAUUGCAGUUGAAACUGGCAGUCUUGAGUACAGUAGAGGUGGGCGGAAUGCGUGGUGUAGCGGUGAAAUGCUUAGAUAUCACGAAGAACUCCGAUUGCGAAGGCAGUUCACUGGACUGCAACUGACACUGAGGCUCGAAAGUGUGGGUAUCAAACAGGAUUAGAUACCCCUGUAGUC